UACGUAGGGUGCAAGCGUUAAUCGGAAUUACUGGGCGUAAAGCGUGCGCAGGCGGUUGUGCAAGACAGAUGUGAAAUCCCCGGGCUUAACCUGGGAAUUGCAUUUGUGACUGCACGGCUAGAGUGUGUCAGAGGGGGGUAGAAUUCCACGUGUAGCGGUGAAAUGCGUAGAUAUGUGGAGGAAUACCGAUGGCGAAGGCAGCCCCCUGGGAUAACACUGACGCUCAUGCACGAAAGCGUGGGGAGCAAACAGG
rnacentral:rRNA from 1 species